rnacentral:rRNA from 1 species
GACAGAGGGUGCAAACGUUGCUCGGAAUUACUGGGCGUAAAGGGCGUGUAGGCGGGAAGGUAAGUCGGGCGUGAAAUCCCCAAGCUCAACUUGGGAACUGCACUCGAAACUACCUUUCUUGAGUGUCGGAGAGGAAAGCGGAAUUCCUGGUGUAGAGGUGAAAUUCGUAGAUAUCAGGAGGAACACCAGUGGCGAAGGCGGCUUUCUGGACGAUGACUGACGCUGAGACGCGAAAGCGUGGGGAGCGAACCGG